CAGUCGUGUGUGUGAUAGGAACUCCUCCAUCCCUGGGGUGGAGGAGGCCUCAUGCCUAGAACCUGAUAAGGUCCUCUAGUAGUUGAGAGUUUGUCCUGGGACAAUGGGGACCUUGUUCUUAUAACUUCAAGGAACUGAAUUCUGUAGAUAAUAAAUGGGUGUUGUUUUAAGCCAUUAAAUUUAGGAUUUGUAUCUGAUUGGUUUAAUUAGAUGCUCUUUUUGCUUAUUUUAUUUUAACAUUUUUUAUUACAGUUGAUUUACAAUGUUCUGUCAACUUUCACUGUACAGCAAAGUGACCCAGUUAUACAUAUAUAUACAUUCUUUUCCUCAUAUUACCUUCUACCAUGUUCUAUCACAAAUGAUUGGAUAUAGGGUUUCCUGUUGUGGCUCAGCAGUAACAAACUUGACUAAUAUUCAUGAGGACGUGGGUUCAAGCCCUGACCCUGCUCAUUGGAUUAAGGAUCCAGCAUUGCUGUAGGCUGCAGUGUAGGUAGUAGAAGGGGCUCGGACCUCGAGUUGCUCUGGCUGUGGUGUAGGCUGGCAGCUAUAGCUCAGGUUCAACCCCUAGCCUGGGAAUAUCCAUAUGCCAUGAGUGCAGCUCUAAAAAGACAACAACAAACAAAAAAAACAAGUGAAUGGAAAAAAAAAGGGAGUUCCCUUUGUGGCUCAGCAGUUAACGAACCUGACUAGGAUCCAUGAGGAUGCAGGUUCUAUCCCUGGCCUCGCUCAGUGGGUUAAUGAUCCAGCAUUGCCGUGAGUGUGGUACAGGUCGAAGACUUUGCUAGGAUCCCAUGUUGCUGUGGCUGUGGUAUAGGCUGGCAGCUGUAGCUCCAAUUCGACCCCUAGCCUGGGAACCUCCAUAUACCUGAAGUGUGGCCCUAAAAUAGCAAAACAAACAAAAAAAAAAGCAAAUGGAUAUAGUUCCAUAUGCUAUACAGCAGGACCUCAUUGCUUAUCCAUUCUAAAUGUAAUAGUUUGUGUCUACUAACCCCAAACUCCCAGUCCAUCCCACUCCCUCCCCUUCUUGGCAACCAUAAGUCUGUUCUCUAUGUCCAUAAGUUUGUUUCUGUUCUGUAGAUAGAUUCAUUUGUGCCAUGUUUUAGUUUCCACAUAUAAGUGAUAUCAUAUGGUAUUUGUCUUUCUCUUUCUCACUUACUUCACUUAGUAUGAGAUGCUCUAGUUCCAUCCACGUUGCUACAAAUGGCAUUGUCUUGUUCUUUUUUAUGACUGAGUAGUAUUCCAUUGUGUAUAUGUACAACAUAUAUAUUUUUUUAAGGGCUGCACCCAUAGUGUAUGGAAGUUCCCAGGCUGGGAGUUGAAUGAGAGCUGCAGCUGCAAGCCUACACCACAGCCACAGCAACAGAAGAUCUGAGCCAUGUCUGCGACCUACACCACAGCUCACAGCAACACCAGAUCCUUAACCCACUGAGGGAGGCCAAGGAUCAAACCUGUAUCCUCAUGGAUACCAAUCAGUUUGUUUCUGCUGAGCCAUGAUGGGUACUCCUGUACCACAUCUUUUUAAUCCAUUCAUCUGUCAAUGAGCAUUUAGAUUGUUUCCACGUCUUGGCUUUUGUGAACAUAGGGGUGCAUGUAUCUUUUUGAAUGAAGGUUUGGUCCAGAUAUAUCCCCAGGAGUGGGAUUACUGGAUCAUAUGGUAGUUCUAUAUUUAGUUUUCUGAGGUACCUCCAUAAUGUUUUUCAUAGUGGUUGUACCAAUUUACUUUCCUACUAAUAGUGUGGGAGGGUUCUCUUUUCUCCACACUCUCCAGCAUUUGUUAUUUGUAGACUAAUUAAUGAUAGCCAUUCAGACCAGUGUGAGGUGGUACUUCAUUGUAGUUUUGAUUUGCAUUUCUAUGAUAAUUAGUGUUAUUGAGCAUUUCUUCAUGUGCCCGUGGUUGUCCAUAUGUCUUUUUUGGAGAAAUGUCUAUGUAGGUCUUCUGCCCAUUUUUCAAAUGGGUUGUUUGUUUUUUUGCUGUUGAGUUGUAUGAGUUAUUUGUAUAUUUUGGUAAUUAAGCCCUUGUUGGUUGCAUUGUUUGCAACUGUUUUCUCCCAUUUCAUUGGUUAUCUUUUGGGGGUUUUUGUUGUUGUUGUUGUUGUUGUUUUUAUGGUUUGGUUUGCUGUGCCAAAGCUUGUAAGUUUGAUUAAGGCUCAUUGGUUUAUUUUUGUUUUCAUUUCUAUUGCCUUGGGAAACUGACCUAAGAAAACAUUGGUAUGGUUGAUGUCAGAGUAUGUUUUGCCUAUGUUCUCUUCUAGAAGUUUUAUGAUAUCUUGUUUUAUGUAAGUCUUUAAGUGAUUUUGAGUUUAUUUUUGUGCAUGAUGUGAGGUGUUUAUUUUACUUUUCAAAAUUCAGACAAAAUUAAAAUCCAUUAGAAAGCAAUACAGGAGUUCCUCUCAUGGCACGGUGGUUAACGAAUCCGACUAGGAACCAUGAGGUUGUGGGUUCGAUCCCUGGCCUUGAUCAGUGGGUUAAGGCUCCAGUGUUCCCAUGAGCUGUGUUGUAGGUUGCAGACGCCGCACGGAUCUCUUGUUGCUGUGGCUCUGGCGUAGGCCAGUGGCUACCACUCUGAUUAGACCCCUUGACUGGGAACUUCCAUAUGCUGCAGGAGCAGCC
rnacentral:lncRNA from 1 species